ACCCAAAUUCCUAAAGCAGUUGGAAGGUCUAAUCACUGAAUAUGGAUGUGUCAUGGAAUUACAGAUAACAAAGUCUCUCUGUAAUCCCCAGAUUGCAAGGUUGCCAAAUCAAACCCAUCUGAAACUACUCAUUAGAGAGCCAGGAGUUUGGAAGACAGCUGAGAAGAAUACAAGACAUUGUUUAUUACACACAGUCUCAUCAAAA